rfam:Escherichia coli ISC11, WGS project CBWP01000000 data, contig: c21
UUGACAUCAUCGUUACUGUGCCUUAUUUUCAGGAGUGAGGGUUAGGGAGGGUUUCCCCUCCCCUGGUGUCUUAGUAAGCCGCGAAGCUAAUGACUAAGAGUAUCACCAGUAUGAUGACCUGCUUCAUCAUAACCCUUUCCUUAUU